rnacentral:rRNA from 1 species
GACGAACGCUGGCGGCGUGCCUAAUACAUGCAAGUAGAACGCUGAAGGAGGAGCUUGCUUCUCUGGAUGAGUUGCGAACGGGUGAGUAACGCGUAGGUAACCUGCCUGGUAGCGGGGGAUAACUAUUGGAAACGAUAGCUAAUACCGCAUAAGAGUAGCUGUUGCAUGACAUUUGCUUAAAAGGUGCAAUUGCAUCACUACCAGAUGGACCUGCGUUGUAUUAGCUAGUUGGUGGGGUAACGGCUCACCAAGGCGACGAUACAUAGCCGACCUGAGAGGGUGAGCGGCCACACUGGGAGUGAGACACGGCCCAGACUCCUACGGGAGGCAGCAGGAGGGAAUCUUCGGCAAUGGGCGGAAGUCUGACCGAGAAACGCCGCGUGAGUGAAGAAGGUGUUCGGAUCGUAAAGCACUGUUGUAAGAGAAGAAAGAGUGUGAGAGUGGAAAGUACACACUGUGACGGUAUCUGACAAGAAAGGGACGGCUAACUACGUG